GCCCUCAAUCCCUCUGUUACUGUGUCACUAUACCCCACUCCCUCUAACAUGUAAACUCACUGAGCAGGGCCCUCAAUCCCUCUGUUACUGUGUCACUAUACCCCACUCCCUCUAACAUGUAAACUCACUGAGCAGGCCCUCAAUCCCUCUGUUACUGUGCCACUAUACCCCACUCUCUCUAACAUGUAAACUCACUGAGCAGGCCCUCAAUCCCUCUGUUACUGUGUCACUACACCCCAUUCCCUCUAACAUGUAAACUCACUGAGCAGGCCCUCAAUCCCUCUGUAACUGUGUCACUAUACCCCACUCCCUCUAACAUGUAAACUCACUGAG